rnacentral:rRNA from 1 species
UACGACUACAUAUCAGGCAUAUCAAUAAGCGGAGGAAAAGAAACUAACAAGGAUUCCCUUAGUAACGGCGAGUGAAGCGGGAAGAGCUCAAAUUUGAAAUCUUCAAGGUUUUACCUUGACGAAUUGUAGUUUAAAGAAGUGUUUUCUGUUGAAGUUUCGGUAAAAGUUCUUUGGAAUAGGACAUCAUAGAGGGUGAGAAUCCCGUAUUUGACCGUUAUUUUCAGCUGUGUGAUACACUUUCAAAGAGUCGGAUUGUUUGGGAAUGCAGUCCAAAAUGGGUGGUAAAUUUCAUCUAAAGCUAAAUAUUGGCGAGAGACCGAUAGCGAACAAGUACCGUGAGGGAAAGAUGAAAAGAACUUUGAAAAGAGAGUUAAACAGUACGUGAAAUUGUCAAAAGGGAAGCGUUUGACACCAGUGUUGUUUUCUCGAAAAUCAAUUAAAAAGUGUUGGAUUUUGUAUUGUUAAGACCUUAUCAGCUUACUGUACUCUUUUCCUGCUCUUUUUAAUGCACUUUUCGUUUAACAAGCCAACAUCAAUUUCUUUUGUUGUAAAAGAGUCAUUGGAAGGUGGCUUUCACUUCGGUGAAAGUGUUUAUAGCCUUUGGCUUCUGCAAUCGGAGAGAUUGAGGUCUGCAGCGUAGAUCCUUCGGGGUUAGAUACGUAGAUGCUAAGUUAUAGUUUUUCAUAGACAACUUGUUGACUAUGAUUAAUCAUGUAGCUUACUCGUUUGCGCUAUUUUACCUACGCUUAGGAUGUUGAAUCUGUGCGAGACUAC